CCUACGGGCGGCUGCAGUGGGGAAUAUUGGACAAUGGGCGAAAGCCUGAUCCAGCCAUGCCGCGUGUGUGAAGAAGGCCUUCGGGUUGUAAAGCACUUUCAGUGGGGAAGAAAGCCUUGGGGCUAAUACCCUCGAGGAAGGACAUCACCCACAGAAGAAGCACCGGCUAACUCCGUGCCAGCAGCCGCGGUAAUACGGAGGGUGCGAGCGUUAAUCGGAAUUACUGGGCGUAAAGCGCGCGUAGGCGGUCUGAUAAGCCGGUUGUGAAAGCCCCGGGCUCAACCUGGGAACGGCAUCCGGAACUGGCAGGCUAGAGUGCAGUAGAGGAAGGUAGAAUUCCCGGUGUAGCAGUGAAAUGCGUAGAGAUCGGGAGGAAUACCAGUGGCGAAGGCGGCCUUCUGGACUGACACUGACGCUGAGGUGCGAAAGCGUGGGUAGCAAACAGGAUUAGAUACCCUUGUAGUC
rnacentral:rRNA from 1 species